rnacentral:rRNA from 1 species
CUUGCUGCUUCGCUGACGAGUGGCGGACGGGUGAGUAAUGUCUGGGAAACUGCCUGAUGGAGGGGGAUAACUACUGGAAACGGUAGCUAAUACCGCAUAACGUCGCAAGACCAAAGAGGGGGACCUUCGGGCCUCUUGCCAUCGGAUGUGCCCAGAUGGGAUUAGCUAGUAGGUGGGGUAACGGCUCACCUAGGCGACGAUCCCUAGCUGGUCUGAGAGGAUGACCAGCCACACUGGAACUGAGACACGGUCCAGACUCCUACGGGAGGCAGCAGUGGGGAAUAUUGCACAAUGGGCGCAAGCCUGAUGCAGCCAUGCCGCGUGUAUGAAGAAGGCCUUCGGGUUGUAAAGUACUUUCAGCGGGGAGGAAGGGAGUAAAGUUAAUACCUUUGCUCAUUGACGUUACCCGCAGAAGAAGCACCGGCUAACUCCGUGCCAGCAGCCGCGGUAAUACGGAGGGUGCAAGCGUUAAUCGGAAUUACUGGGCGUAAAGCGCACGCAGGCGGUUUGUUAAGUCAGAUGUGAAAUCCC